UACGUAGGGACCGAGCGUUGUCCGGAAUCAUUGGGCGUAAAGAGCGUGUAGGCGGCCCUUUAAGUCCUGCGUGAAAUCCUGCGGCUCAACCGCAGACGGUCGUGGGAAACUGGAAGGCUAGAGUGCGGGAGAGGAGAGUGGAAUUCCUGGUGUAGCGGUGAAAUGCGCAGAUAUCAGGAAGAACACCAAUGGCGAAAGCAGCUCUCUGGGACGGUACUGACGCUGAGACGCGAAAGCGUGGGGAGCGAACAGG
rnacentral:rRNA from 1 species